GCCUGUGUGGCUCAGUCGGUUGAGCAUCAGACUUCGGCUCAGGUCAUGAUCUCACUGCUUAUGGGUUCGAGCCCCGUGUUGGGCU
rnacentral:tRNA from 1 species